UGCCUAACACAUGCAAGUCGAGCGGCAGCACUUCGGGUGGCGAGCGGCGAACGGCUGAGUAACACGUUAGUACCUGCCCCAAACUCAGGGAUAAGCCUUGGAAACGAGGUCUAAUACCGGAUGUCCCAGUAACGGGAAAGAUUUUAUCGGUUUGGGAGGGGCUUGCGACGUAUCACGCUUGUUGGUGAGGUAACUGCUCACCAAGGCUAUGACGCGUAUCUGGUGUGAGAGCACGACCAGACAGAGUGGGACUGAGACACGGNCCACACUCCUACGGGAGGCAGCAGUGAGGAAUUUUCCACAAUGGGCGAAAGCCUGAUGGAGCAAUCUCGCGUGGAGGAUGACACCUUUCGGGGCGUAAACUCCUUUUCUGAGGGAAGAAGUUCUGACGGUACCUCAGGAAUAAAGGGCGGCUAAUUCCGUGCCAGCAGCCGCGGUAAUACGGAAGCCCUAAAGCGUUAUCCGGAAAUCACUGGGCGUAAAGCGAUCGAAGGUGGACC
rnacentral:rRNA from 1 species